rnacentral:lncRNA from 1 species
UCUCAGUCAGCACCAUAAAGCAAUGUUUUCUGAAGGACACGUCUGGAGUUGUCCAACAAUUUUCCAGAGCUUCUGACACUACUUCUGGUAAGCUUCUUGAAGCUAGUAAUCUCAAUGUUUCUGAUUCUAUUAUUUCUGAAAGGAUCUUACCAAACCAAUCACCUCCCACUUCUUAACCUAUUUCAUCUUUUUCUCAACCAAUAUUUUCCCAACCAAUCUCU